UACGUAGGGGGCAAGCGUUGUCCGGAAUUACUGGGCGUAAAGAGCGUGUAGGCGGCUCGUUAAGUCCGUUGUGAAAGCCCCGAGCUCAACUUGGGAAUUGCAGUGGAUACUGGCAGGCUGGAGUACGGUAGAGGAAGGUGGAAUUCCCGGUGUAGCGGUGAAAUGCGUAGAGAUAUGGAGGAACACCAGUGGCGAAGGCGGCUUUCUGGUCUGCAACUGACACUGAGGCGCGAAAGCGUGGGUAGCAAACAGG
rnacentral:rRNA from 1 species